rnacentral:antisense_RNA from 1 species
ACAACUGCAGCGAGAGAAGAGGCUGGCAGCAUGGGUGGCAGGNNGNUUGGCAGCCUCACAGGAUGCCUGCAAAUACCUUUCACUUAUGCAGUUUGGCAGUGCAGUGGUGCAUGGAGACAGCGUCUUGGGCCUGGCACCCACAGCCACUUAGGAAGUUGGAGUCCUGGAGAGGAGAACACAGAACGUGGACAACUAGCUGUCAAAUUGCAGUAAAAGUUGGUUCAGGAAAAGUGGAAGCUACCCAGAUGUCUACCAAUUGAAGCUUCUAUUCUGGAAUAGAACAGCUAGCAUACUACCAAGACUUUUCAAGGAGCAAGAAUGGAGCUCCCUGGAGAACUGACUGAACAUGGCNUNNNNNGNNNGUAUCCAUGUCACAUUUCAAAGGCCAGAUCUUUCCCAGGGCUUAAGCUGUUCCUUGGAUACUUUUGCUGAUGGUUUACACAUCUUCUUCCCACAUUAUAUUGUAACUUUCUU